rnacentral:lncRNA from 1 species
ACCUUCGAAGUCACCAAACCGUUUCUACUUUUUCUAGUUUCUUAUGUUUCUGUUUUCUACUUGUUGAACGAAGAAAGUUCAUAAACUUUGUAUCUCAGACCAGAUCUCUAAACCCUUUUCUAAUACUUUUAACCUUUUAUGCAAUAUCUUAUUCAUAUGGUUUUGAUUUGCAUGCGUAUGUGUGAGUAGUUUACUCGUUAGGCGCUAGGUUUAUUCUCAAUGCAAUAUUGCUUGAGUAGCUAACUUGUGAUUGUCAUAUAUAGUUUCAGUAUCAAACUAUAUAUGACAAUAUAUGGAAAACUUUAUAUUAGCCAACAUGAAAUCUAUUCUUUACCUACAAAAUCAAUAACUUUCAAUUGUAAUUUCUCAAUAAUUAAUUAACAUAUCUAGCCACCAAAUCUAAUAAAAAGGACAAAGUUUUUUUGAAGUAACAUUUUCAUGCAUCAUAAAAAAUUUUAACCAAAACAAAGGACCAUAUCUCAGUAGAUUUUUUAAUUUAUUAAUCAUAAAUACUUACUACUGAAGAGAAGACUGUGUCAACAAUCCAAAUCUCGUCCAAAGCAAAUAUCCAAAAUGCAGAGUCCUCAAACAAGCAGAUGAAAUUAGCUGCUUAAUAAUCUUUCUUGUGAGUUGGUGAUGUGCGUCUCGUCAUUUCUUCCCAUCGAUCUGAACGUUUCUACAAAAUGUGUGUUGUCCAAAAUCAUUACGCACACAAAAGAGAGAUUUGAUAUCCAACAUAAUAAGAUGCAAACAAUUAGAGUUUGGUAACAUAUCAUCCAGAAAAUUAGGAGCUCACACAAUCUCUCAACCUUGAUUUCAAUGGAAAUUUUUUUCUCUCACCAAAGAUAGAAAAUAUUAAAAACCUUUACUCAAAAUUUUAGUGUAGUUCUUAGCUUAAAAUCACUACUUCUGGUCUUUUCUACGCCCACCCCUCAUACUAACAAAAAAAACAUGCAACAAAGACCCGACUUACCCUAGAAAACACUAAGGAAUUAUAAACUACAUCUUCUUUAAAAGAAAUCCAGCCAUUUUGUCGGUCAUCUCAAAAAAAACUUUAUAGAUCUGAUUUGGAUAUCACGAGAGCAUCCAAUUCUAGAUCUGCAAAUGAUGUUGCAAAAUUUGAGAUAGUAGAAAAUCAAAUCACUACCUGUAAUUCACCAUAUGUUGUGGGUACCUUUUCAAAAGAUUGUGUAACUAAGCAGUUGUGAUUGGUUCAUUGAGGGGAGGGAANNN